AGUGAACGCUGGCGGUAGGCCUAACACAUGCAAGUCGAACGGCAGCACAGUAAGAGCUUGCUCUUACGGGAGGCGAGUGGCGGACGGGUGAGGAAUACAUCGGAAUCUACUUUUUCGUGGGGGAAAACGUAGGGAAACUUACGCUAAUACCGCAUACGACCUACGGGUGAAAGCAGGGGAUCUUCGGACCUUGCGCGAUUGAAUGACCCGAUGUCGGGUUAGCUAGUUGGCGGGGUAAAGGCCCACCAAGGCGACGAUCCGUAGCUGGUCUGAGAGGAUGAGCAGCCACAGUGGAAAGGAGACAAGUUCGGGACUCCUACGGGAGGCAGCAGUGGGGAAUAUUGCAGAAUGGGCGCAAGUCUUAUGCAGGAAUGCCGCGUGCAUAAAGAAGGCAUUGGGGUUGUAAAGUACUUUCAGCGGAGAGGAAGGGAGUAAAGUUAAUAACUUUGCGCACUGACGUUACCCGCAGAAGAGACGCCGGCUGACGCCGUG
rnacentral:rRNA from 1 species